rnacentral:rRNA from 1 species
GACGAACGCUGGCGGCGUGCUUAACACAUGCAAGUCGAACGGAAAGGCCCUGCAGUUGUGGGGUGCUCAAGUUGCGAACGAGUGAGUAACACGUGAGUAACCUGCCCGUGACUUUGGGAUGAAUUCAGGAAACUGGGGCUAAUACCGGAUAGGAACUCCUGCUGCAUGGUGGGGGGUGGAAAGGUUCGGCGGUUUGGGAUGGAAUCGCGGCUUAUCAGCUGGUUGUUGGGGUAGUGGCGUACCAAGGCUUUGACGGGUAGCCGGCCUGAGAGGGUGACCGGCCACAUUGUGACUGAGAUAGGGCCCAGACUCCUACUGGCGGCAGCAGUGGGGAAUAUUGCACAAUGGGCGGCAGCCGGAUGCAGCACCGCCGCGUGCGGGAUCACUGCCUUCCGGUUGUAAACCGCUUUCGGCGGUGACGAAGAGUGAGUGACGGUAAUGGGUAAAGAAGCACCGGCUAACUACGUG